rnacentral:rRNA from 1 species
UGGGGAAUAUUGCACAAUGGGCGCAAGCCUGAUGCAGCCAUGCCGCGUGUGUGAAGAAGGCCUUCGGGUUGUAAACCACUUUCAGCGAGGAGGAAGGGUAGUGUGUUAAUAGCACAUUGCAUUGACGUUACUCGCAGAAGAAGCACCGGCUAACUCCGUGCCAGCAGCCGCGGUAAUACGGAGGGUGCAAGCGUUAAUCGGAAUUACUGGGCGUAAAGCGCACGCAGGCGGUUUGUUAAGUCAGAUGUGAAAUCCCCGCGCUUAACGUGGGAACUGCAUUUGAAACUGGCAAGCUAGAGUCUUGUAGAGGGGGGUAGAAUUCCAGGUGUAGCGGUGAAAUGCGUAGAGAUCUGGAGGAAUACCGGUGGCGAAGGCGGCCCCCUGGACAAAGACUGACGCUCAGGUGCGAAAGCGUGGGGAGCAAACA